rnacentral:lncRNA from 1 species
GAUUUUACACUCUAGACAUGGCUCUUGAUAGAAGAACUGUAACCAGUUUGAUCAUCAUGAUACUUAUCCCAUAACAUAACUCCUCCAUAUUUUGAAGAACCUUUGAUUGCUGGCAGCACUUUAGAAGUAAGGUCACCGACAGGGAUGUAUCCACUUCCAGCGGCUGUAGGUGAUGCUGGUAGCCCCAAGAAAAUCUUGGCCGCGGGUAUAUCAGUAGUCCACUGCUUCCAUGCAUCUUCAAGAUUGGUGAUACCUCCAGAGUAUUGACAAGGAGGGUUGUUAUAGAACUGAACCCAAACAUAGUCAAACAGACCUGUUUUAAGAGCGGUUCCAAUAUACGCAUCCGGGAAAGGACACUGGGGAGCUGCUGUCAAGUAUACCUUCUUUCCUUGAUUGCUGUAAGCAGAAAGAUACCUUGCCAGGUCAUCCCAGUGUUGGGUGGUUCCUCCUUCGAUAUCAAAAUCGAUUCCAUCUAGAACAGCUUCGCCAAGUGGACGGGUGGAUGAUUGGCCACCUAAGAAGUUAUUCCAGAGGUAAGUGGCUACUUGUUUGGCAUCUUCGGCAGAGGUUAGGUAGUAGCUCCCGGCUGCUCCUCCAAGAGUGAGCAUCACCUUGACUCCUUUAGCCUGACAUGAUUUAAUGUCUGAUGUUAACUUGGUGCAGCCAUUGCUGUAUGGAUCACAGUGACCUGCCAGAUUAAUCAUUGGUGUCUGGCCGUUUCCAAAGGUUGCAAGAAAUGCGAGGUUGACAAAAUCGUAGUUCCCUGUCGAGCACGUCUCAGCCAAGGUACCCUCACCCCCGUUUUGACCCCAGUAGAUUGCAAUGCCACCAGCAUUGGUACCCACUGCUAGUAACAACAUCAUUGAGGAUAAUAAUGCUAAUCGGGAUACCAUUUUCACUCAAGUAUGUAUCUUACCUGAAGUACUGUAGUAAUUAAUGAACUAAUAAUGUGUUCCAAAUGCUUGAGAAGUUUGGUUUUUAUAGUAAAGGCAGAUUGCCCAAUUGUGGAGUAUUUUUACAAAAGCAAGGACCUUGGAGGGCACUCUGUUGAAUCCUCUUUUAGCAGACCUUGGAUUUUUUGAAAUUAUUGGAAGCGUCUUCCUUUGCCAUCUGUUUUGUUUGUUUCUUGUUGUCUUCUACAUUAAUGUUUUGGUUUCUCAUUUAUGGUAUUAGACAGAUUUGUCCCUAUGCUAUUGUCAUUAACAUACAAAGUAGUUCAGGUAUAUGUUACUUCCUUGAACUUCUGAUGAGAAUGUUAUAGGCUGUCAUAUAUUACAAUCACAUGGCUCUUUUGUUAUUGUUGCCGACUAUGAUCAAGAAGAAUGUUUGGAUGCAUGGUGUGUGCGGCGUGAUACAGGCGGUGAUGGGGGGAGGUGACGGUGGCCGUGUCUAG